rnacentral:rRNA from 1 species
CACGCCAUAAACGAUGAAUGCUAGGUAUUGGGGUUACUCAGUGCCGACGUAAACACAAUAAGCAUUCCGCCUGGGGAGUACGUGCGCAAGCAUGAAACUCAAAGGAAUUGACGGGGACCCGCACAAGCAGCGGAGCAUGUGGUUUAAUUCGAUGCAACGCGAAGAACCUUACCAGGGCUUGACAUGUGGGUGAAAGCUGUAGAGAUACAGCCCUCUCUUCGGAGACAUCCAUACAGGUGG